CGACCGGCGCACGGGUGAGUAACACGUAUGCAAUCUACCUUUUACACGGGCAUAGCCCGGAGAAAUCCGGAUUAAUACCCGAUAAGACAGGGACUCCGCAUGGAGAUAUUUGUUAAAGAUUAUCGGUAAAAGAUGAGCAUGCGUUCCAUUAGUUAGUUGGUGAGGUAACGGCUCACCAAGACUACGAUGGAUAGGGGAACUGAGAGGUUUAUCCCCCACACUGGAACUGAGACACGGUCCAG
rnacentral:rRNA from 1 species